UUGCCCCAGUAACGGCGAGUGAAGCGGCAAAAGCUCAAAUUUGAAAUCCUGCGGGAAUUGUAAUUUGAAGGUUUCGUGGUCUGAGUCGGCCGCGCCCAAGUCCAUUGGAACAUGGCGCCUGGGAGGGUGAGAGCCCCGUAUGGCGCACGCCGACUCUUUGCACCGCG
rnacentral:rRNA from 1 species